GAUCAUGGCUCAGGAUGAACGCUAGCGGCAGGCUUAACACAUGCAAGUCGAGGGGCAGCGCUGGAUAGCAAUAUCCUGGCGGCGACCGGCGGAAGGGUGCGUAACGCGUGAGCGACAUGCCCGUUGCCCGGGGACAACCGGUGGAAACGCCGACUAAUCCCCGAUGGUAUAUUGUGCCGCAUGGCACGAUAUUGAAAGUUACGGCGGCGACGGAUUGGCUCGCGUCCGAUUAG
rnacentral:rRNA from 1 species